rnacentral:rRNA from 1 species
GCAAGUCGAACGGUAACCUCAGUGCUUGCACAGAGGGGAAAGUGGCGAACGGGUGAGUAACACGUGGGUGAUCUACCUUAGAGACUGGGACAACUUCGGGAAACCGGAGCUAAUACUGGAUACGGUUGUGCAUAUAGAAGUGCAUAAUUAAAGAUGGGGAUUUUCGAACCUAUCACUUUAAGAUGAGCCUGCGGCCCAUUAGCUUGUUGGUGGGGUAAUAGCCUACCAAGGCAACGAUGGGUAGCCGGCCUGAGAGGGUGAAC